rnacentral:rRNA from 1 species
AUAACAAUGAUUCCCCCAGUAACGGCGAGUGAACAGGGAAAAGCUCAAAGUUGGAAGCUCCUGGCCCUAGGCUAGGCGCAUUGUAAACUAAAGCUGUAAAGUAGUUCGGUUGGCCUGGUAAAAAAGUUCCCUGGAAUGGGGCGACAUGGAGGGUGAAAUCCCCGUCUUUGGCCAGAGUUCAGCCGUGCGUUUGCUUUGCUGCGAAGAGUCAGGUUGUUUGGGAAUGCAGCCUAAAAUGGGAGGUAGACUUCUCCUAAAGCUAAAUAUUGACGAAAGACCGAUAGCGAACAAGUACCGUGAGGGAAAGAUGAAAAGCACUUUGAAAAGAGGGUCAAAAAGUACGUGAAAUUGCUGAAAGGGAACCGUAUGAAAUCAGCCUGAUGUGUGGGUAAUCAGCCUGGGCUUUGGCCUGGGUGCACUUGCCCAUGUAUUAGCCUGCGACAGUUUGACCUGGGGGAAAAAAGAUGGGGGAAUGUGGCCUCGGCUUCGGUCGUGGUGUUAUAGCCCCUGUCAAAAUACCUUGGGUUGGACUGAGGACUGCAGCGAGCCGUAAGGCAUGGGUCUCGGGCGCUCUGUCUCGGCGAAAAGUGAAUCUCUGCUUCGGGUGGUGCGCUUUUCUUCAGGGCAGACACGUCUGUUUCUUCUUUCUCUCGCUUAGGUCGUAGGCAUAAUGAUUUUAUAUG